rnacentral:rRNA from 1 species
UGCGUAGGCGGAUUAAUAAGUCAGUGGUGAAAACCUGCAGCUUAACUGUAGACUUGCCAUUGAUACUGUUGAGCUCGAGGGCAGCAGAGGGAGGUAGAAUUCCCGGUGUAGUGGUGGAAUGCGUAGAUAUCGGGAGGAAUACCAGUGGCGAAAGCGGCCUCCUGGGCUGUUUCUGACGCUGAUGCCCGAAAGCGUGGGGAGCAAACAGGAUUAGAUACCCUGGUAGUCC